ACUAUGUUGUUGGGGCCAGUCGAAUAGUGAUUCAUUUCGUGACGUUGUCCGCUGCAACGUCAAAUUUCACCUUCACGAUCACGACUCGUGAGAGUGUGAGAGAAGAGUGUUGAGUUAUGUGUUUCAAGACUAACGGCAACCUAACUACCGCCGCUCAGCAAACAUCACGCAACACGCAACAUUUAAGCAGAGGGCAUCUAUUGUCAUCAGGGCACCGCUUGACUGACAACACUGGCCCGUGGGACGGGCGCCAUGGAUUUUACCGUGACGACAGUCGUCAUGACCCUCGCUCUCAGCACCGCCGUCAACGCGCAGCGAGGAACUAACGGGGUGGCGGGUCCCUUUCGGCUUAUUGCGGAUCAUAUUGAGGAGUGUCCACAAGAGAUGCAACCACGCCGGAAGUUAUUCGAGAUGACCGUAACAGCUUUUCGUGAUCGUAGGGACGUUGACUUGUGGCACUACUCAGCUAAUGGGACGACCUAUAUCACAGUAGACAACAAUUUGACGGCCUUAGCCAAUUUCGCGUCGUGGAGCUCAACCGGAGGCUGGAAGGACAACUUCUUUCGUUUCACUCUGCCAAGAGCCUGCGCUACGGCAAAGGCAAGAUUUCCGGAUCUAUGGCGAAGAGCGAUGAUCGCCCUCUUCAAUGAUCCUGAUCGGGACUGCCCUUUUCCUCCGCAACCCCGUUCAGCAGCGGCAGGCCUGACACAUACGUCGUUUGUGUACAACAAACGUUGACUAAAGGCGUGUUUUCCCGUGCCUUUAGCUCCUUUCGGCGCAGAUAUGAGGACGUGCCUCUCCGUGGCAUGACGGCUUGGCACAGACAGGGGAUACUAUUCCGUACGGAAUGUGUCUACGGAUUUCCAUAUGAAGCAGGUACGAACAUUCUUCUACGGGAAAUAUCGCGGCACGGGCACACUUAUAAAUAGCGUUACCAAAGAAGUUAUCGCCUGCAAGCGUGGGUUCUUUAGCAUUGUGCCGAAAACUCAGAAGCACUCUGAUAAGUUAUAAACCUACAUAAGUGUGCGACACGGGUGGAAUACACACUGUAACAAAAACGUUAAGAAUUCUUCGUAACACCCAAACAAACCCGGGUUCCCGGAAGAAAAAAAAAACGUAGCCAGAUAAUAUGUAUGCAGCGGUAUUCCAUGUGGCAAAACAAUAGUACAUUAUUAGUUUUUAUAAAAUACUAUGCACUUCACGUACAUUGUGGCAAUUGUAUUUUUCUUUUGUAGAAAGACAAUUUGGUGCCUAAACGGUUAGAGCUGAAUGGACGGAAUAUUUAGUCUGACUCGUCCUAUUCUGACCAGUAACCCUUUAUGAGACUAUGAAAAAUCAUAUGAUUUUUAACUUUGCCUAGAAGGGUCCAAUAUAUUGUCCCUAAAUCAGGAAGGUUAGAGAAAACGUCCGCAGAGAGACUCACAAUGGGAGCAACCCGACAUGUCCACGGUAAAUACGUCCACAACAGUUUGGACGUAAAAGAAGCGCUUUGCGAAAAUACGUCCAAUGAUUUGGACGUAAAUUAACGUCUGCGAUUAUUACGUCCACAGCGUGGAUGUACUUACGGUUCGUUUAGGUUGGUGAAAAUACCUCCACAAAAUCUGGCGCUAAUUGUCGCCACUGUGAUUCACAUCCUCAGGAAUGAUCAAACGAACCAAAGAAUAAACGCAUGCCCGUAUGGCUGUUUCUUCUCUACACUGAUAAACUAAGUGAUCAACUAACACUUGUAUUGUAAGUGUGCAACAGAGUUGUUGUGCCUGUGCUCUUGCAAGUGUUAAAGAGUUGUACAAUUUUGGUUUAUCAGUGAAUGAAAAUCACCAUUGUCUCGGCCGCGACUGCGUACAGCGGGGACAUGAUCGGCAAUGCAGUAAGCCCAAACCAGCAACGUAACCCGCGCCCGCGCUAACUCUAUGAAAAUCUGACUACUCGAUCAAGGGUGGGAAUGGCCUACACAUAGAGCGUAUUUCUAGAGUUUUCAGACUAGCACAAGCUUGACCUACACUUGGGUGUGUAGGACCUUUGUCUUGCUCUUGCAACUAUCGUACUGGUGGAUUUUCAGAGUGAGGGCAGAACGUCAUCCGUGUGGAUGUAAAUGAAAGGAGACAAACGGCAACAGAUUUUGUGGAGCUAAUUUCACCAGCAUCACACGGCUCGUAAGUACAUCCACACUGUGGACGUAACGAACGCAUCGGUUAAUUUACGUCCAAAUCAUUGGAUGUAAACUUGUGGACGUGUUUUCACAUCGCGAAAAUUCUGUGGAUGAAUUUACUGUGGACGUGUCGGUCCCGCCCCCUCACAAUGUUUACGAUUGACAAUUGUCAAGCAAAGUUACAGGUGACAGACACCGGUUGGAUCCAAAAGUAGAAAUACAAAUACUCUUUCUAGAGACAGCAUAUGUAAUAAUUACGAACAAAAUACAAUGGUAGUAAUGAAGUUAGGUUAACAAAUACUGUACGCCAAAAUACCGGUGAUAUUCAGCUCUCAGUGAGAAAGAUAGGACAGUGUAAAACUGUUUGUGUUGAGAAAAUCAAUAAUAGAGUAUUUCUGGCAGAGUCCAUUUGGAUUUUCAUUAAUAAAAUGCAACAACUCAUGCUUUGUUAUCUGUCUGACAUGAAGAACAUGUGUAAAGAAGCCAAGAAAUAAUUUCCCCACUCUUCUAUCUCUGGCUGAUAUGUGUUUCAAAUUCUAACUGUGUUAUUGAAGAUACUUUUAAUCAGUGCCAGACUCUCUUUCCCAUAAUACUCAGAUAUGAAAUGGUCGUUACCAUUCAGAGUAUGUGAGAUAGAUUCUACAUGCAUCCAUACAGGACCAGUAAUGUUUUAAGUUCAUUGCCUGAUGUUAAAAUAAAAAAAAAACACAAAAUCAAAAAAUAUUUUCUUUUUUUCCCUAAGUCUCACUCUGAAAGAGUAAAAUUCUAUCAUAGAAUCAUUGUAUCAUAGUCCCUAGCAUGUCCUUUGCCUCAAAAUAAUUUUCAGUUACACUCAUCGCUUAACCAAGUUUUAGUUGCGGGGCUAAGGACUAAAUUCCUUCAGCUACUCAAAAAUGGUCAAAGUAUGCCAUCAUAAG